CCUACGGGAGGCAGCAGUGAGGAAUAUUGGUCAAUGGACGAGAGUCUGAACCAGCCAAGUAGCGUGAAGGAUGACUGCCCUAUGGGUUGUAAACUUCUUUUAUAUGGGAAUAAAAUGUUCCACGUGUGGGAUUUUGUAUGUACCAUAUGAAUAAGGAUCGGCUAACUCCGUGCCAGCAGCCGCGGUAAUACGGAGGAUCCGAGCGUUAUCCGGAUUUAUUGGGUUUAAAGGGAGCGUAGGUGGAUUGUUAAGUCAGUUGUGAAAGUUUGCGGCUCAACCGUAAAAUUGCAGUUGAAACUGGCAGUCGUGAGUACAGUAGAGGUGGGCGGAAUUCGUGGUGUAGCGGUGAAAUGCUUAGAUAUCACGAAGAACUCCGAUUGCGAAGGCAGCUCACUGGACUGAAACUGACACUGAGGCUCGAAAGUGUGGGUAUCAAACAGGAUUAGAUACCCCAGUAGUC
rnacentral:rRNA from 1 species